rnacentral:rRNA from 1 species
CAGUAGCCGCGGUAAUGCGUAGGGUGCAAGCGUUAAUCGGAAUUACUGGGCGUAAAGCGUGCGCAGGCGGUUCGUUAAGACAGAUGUGAAAACCCCGGGCUUAACCUGGGAACUGCAUUUGUGACUGGCGGGCUAGAGUAUGGCAGAGGGGGGUAGAAUUCCACGUGUAGCAGUGAAAUGCGUAGGGAUGUGGAGGAAUACCGAUGGCGAAGGCAGCCCCCUGGGCCAAUACUGACGCUCAUGCACGAAAGCGUGGGGAGCGAACAGGAUUAGAUACCCGCGUAGUCCCUGUCUCUUAUAC